rnacentral:rRNA from 1 species
AAUUUUUAUUUUUAAUAUUUAAUUUUUAUUUUUAAUUAUUAAUAAAAAUAAUUUUGGGUUUAGUAUUAGUUUAUAGAACUUAUUUUUUAAUAUUUAUAGUUUAAUGUACUGUGAAGGAAUUAAUAUAUUAAAUAGUUAUAAGUAAAUAUGUAGUAUUGUACCUUUUGUAUCAGGGUUUAUCUAUUAUAAUUAAUUAUUUAUUAAUUAUCCCGAAAUUAAAAGAGAUAUCUUUUUGGUUUAUUUAAUAUUUCAUAAUUAUUAAUAACUUAAAGAUAGGAGUUAUAUGCUAUUCAUUUUUAAAUAUCUGGUUUCUUAAGAAAUGAAUUUAAUUCAUCUAUAGUUUAAUUAUUAAAAGUUAUUAAAUUCUUUUAUAAUUAUUAUAGCAAUAUUUUAGGGGAUAAUCUCUUAAAUAGUUUUAUAAAUAAAUUAUAAAUAGAUCUAAAUUAAGUAGGAUUAAUAAUUUCUUUCAUUUAUUUUGUUAUAAUUAAUUUAGUAUUGUUAUUUUAUUUAAUUUAUUUUAAUUAAUUAUUAAGAAGUUUAAAUAAAUAAAAUGUUUAAAGUUAUAAUGAUAAAAUUAGUAUAAUUUAUAGUAUAUAAAUAAGAACUUGGCAAUUGUAAUGUUCGCCUGUUUAACAAAAACAUGUCCUAUUGAUGAAUUUAUUUUAGGUCAGGCCUGCUCGGUGAUUAUAUUUAACAGCUGCAGUAAUUUGACUGUGCAAAGGUAGCAUAAUCAAUUGUUUUUUAAUUGGAGACUGGUAUGAACGGUUUAACGAGAUAUUAACUUUUUUUUUAUAUAAAUUUAGAAUUUAAUUUUUGUGUUAAAAAGCUUAAAUAUGAUUGUAGGACGAGAAGACCCUAUAGAAUUUAAAUUCUAAAUUUAAAUUUAUAGUGUACGGUAUUUAUAAAUAAAUUAUUAUUAAAGAAUUUUUGUUGGGGCGAUAGGGGAAUUUAUUUAACUUCCUUAAUUGAUUGAUAUUAUAAAUGAAUAUGUGUAUUGAUCCUUAGAAAAGAUUAUAAGAUUAAAUUACCUUAGGGAUAACAGCGUGAUUCUAUUGAAGAGUUCAUAUCGAUAAUAGGGUUUGCGACCUCGAUGUUGGAUUAAAAUAAGAUUUUGGUGUAGCAGCUAAUUUUCUAGGUCUGUUCGACCUUUAAUUUUUUACAUGAUCUGAGUUCAGACCGGCGUAAGCCAGGUUGGUUUCUAUCCUCAAUAGUUUAUAUAUUAUUUUAGUACGAAAGGACCAUUUAUUGUAAAUAAUUUGUG